GCUUGUGGCCAAACCACCUUGUCAAAGCCAGAUCUCGUCAGAUCUCAGAAGCUAAUCUAAACCAGGCCUGGUCAAUACUUGGAUGGGACACCACUGGGAAUUCCAGGUGCCCGUAGUA
rnacentral:rRNA from 1 species